AAAGUAGUAGAAGUAUUUGGAUAAAUAGGAUCCACAUUAGAUUGUUCCUGCUCCAUAACGGGCAUAAAGUGUUGAGAGACUUGAUUAGAAACUGGUGCUUGAGCUACGGAUUAAUCAUGCUCCACAGUUGGCACAGAAUGUGGAGAAACUUGGACUAAAAAAAUAACUGGUUGAGUUGAUAAGGAAAAACCAACAUUACAAGGCUCACUGAAUGACAACCUCUGCUCAAUAGUGCCCUCUGUCUUAGUAGCUUUUGCUUUUGCCUGAGGAGGUGAGUCAAAUUGCUUAAUCCUUUGAGAGUUCAAAGGUUUCUGUAGGGAUCGUUUUUGCUUUAUUGAAGAGGUCAAAGUUGAUAUAGCAGAAAACUUAGAUGAGACAAGCUUUUUCUCCAUUGUUUUGGGGUCCAUAUCAGGUUCAUAAUGAGAUAAGGAGCAAAAUGUGAGCAAACCAAACAAUGAGAUGCCGUAUGAACCUGAAACUAGAGAAGAUGGUUGAGACUGGGUAAUAAUAGAGGAAGAUGUUGAAACUGAGGCAGCAGUAGCUAUGAAGACAAAAGGAGCAACUACAGUAAUAGAUAAUCGAGGGGAAGCAAAAGAUUCAUAUACAAAUUCUUGCAAUAGAUUGAUCUUUAAUCCUAAUGUGAGUGUC
rnacentral:lncRNA from 1 species